rnacentral:tRNA from 1 species
GGGCUGCUAGCUCAAUGGUAGAGCAGCUGACUCUUAAUCAGUAGGUUCCCAGUUCGAGUCUGGGGCAGCCCACCA